rnacentral:lncRNA from 1 species
CCACCUAUUUUUUCCUCAUCUCUUAGACUUUCACUUUACAAACCCUAAAAAACAAACUUACAGCUCUCUCUCCUAUCGGCCACCACCAAGAUCCUCCAUCAGUUCCACAAGAUCACAAGAUGUUGACGUUGAUGCUCCUCCUGAAAUUCUCAUCAAUCAAAAACCCUCUCAAAUUUUGCACAAUUUUCUUCCGAUUUUAUCUAUCCAGCUGAUAUUUUGGCUUUGUCGUCAUUCCGAUUUAAGGUUAUCAAUCCUUUGAUGUUGUUUGAAGACAAUCAUGAUAAUCAGGCUUAUAUGUGAAUCCAUGGAAAUCUCUUAUUGAUUCGGAAUAAAAAUGAACCAACAGCUGCAAAUCCGGAUCUGGGUUCAAAGUAUUUUGUUAUUAAUUUAUGGGUUUGGGUUUUUAUUUUCAAUCUAGAUGGAGGUAAAUAGAGGAAUAUCAAAAAUUCUUUGUUUUUUCAUGACCAGUUACAAGAUUAGUCGGCCUCAAAUUGUAUAAUGUUUAUUACUUAUCCAUAUUACAUGUGUUGUAUGUAACCAAUUAGGGUUCUGAUUAUCAUCUUCUCAUUGUGGCUACAAUUAAGGUUAGCAUUAUUUUGUAUUCUUUUUUGGUUAUACUAAUUCGCAGUAUUCAUAUUGAUGCAACCGAGUUUUAAGUUUUUGUAUUCGUUUUUGUUUUGGCAGAUUGGGGUUUUUUAGUCUUUUGCAACAAUCGUUGCAACGAACUUCGAAGUUACUAACCUCAAUCAAAGGUUUUUUUAAUCCUCUGUUUUAUUACGUGAUUAAGUUUUUUUGAUUUCUUUGUUUGUGAAUAGGGUUGUAUUGUUAUUGUUAACAAAUUUAGCUAGAAGGUUGUAGAAUUCAAGAUCUCUUAAAAAGAAGCUUUUGAUUUUACAAGGAUUGCAAUUAAUUUAUAGUGUAGGACAAUCUGUUUUAUUUAUUAUUUAUUUCAUAUUUAUAUUUAUAAUUUAUUAUUUCUUUUAGAUAUAAUCUUUUAGGUUGGAUUGAUUUGAUGAAAGAUGGAGAGUUCCAUUUGGUCAGAUUUUUGUUUUCAAAAUAGUCAAGGAGUCAAGAAAGCUUUUGGUUGCAAUAGAUCAAAAUCUUUAAUAUCAUUUUAAAAUUGUUUUUAGUAAACUGAUGUUUCUAUUAGAUUGU